AUCGAACGCUGGCGGCAGGCUUAACACAUGCAAGUAGAGCGAGCGGCGGACGGGUGAGUAAUGUCUGGGAAACUGCCUGAUGGAGGGGGAUAACUACUGGAAACGGUAGCUAAUACCGCAUACCAUCAGUUGUGCCCAGAUGGGAUUAGCUAGUAGGUGGGGUAAUGGCUCACCUAGGCGAAGAUCCCUAGCUGGUCUGAGAGGAUGACCAGCCACAGUGUAACUGAGACACGGUCCAGACUCCUAGGAGGGGGAGCAGGGGGGAAUAUGGCAAUAGGGGCGCGAGCCUGAUGGAGCCACGCCGCGUGUAUGAAGAAGGCCUGGGGGUUGUAAAGUACUUUCAGCGGGGAGGCGUUCCUCGCAGAAGAAGCACCGGCUAACUCCGUGCCAGCAGCCGGGGUAUAC
rnacentral:rRNA from 1 species